UCUAACUCUCUUGUCUUUCCUGUGUUUGUUUAAAAUUGUCGCUAAUAGGUAUUUAGACCUGACAUUUAUAUGGUCCUUCGAGCCGGAUGUCAAGACACCGAACGGAUCCCGGCAGGUCUGGUCGACUCCGGUAAAAGACCGUGCGCACGGUAAGUUUCUUACUGGAAACUUCUCAAAACCUGUUGAAGGGCUGGUGUCGACCUCCCUGUUGGAAUCUGACGGUUGACGACUCCGAGGGGAAGACAGAGGGUGAGUGGAUUCUUGUUUAAAAGUGUGGCGAAUGACUGAGGGUCAUUGCGCGAAUACAAAACCCUGUAAAUUCUAGACUCUAACAGGUAAAAAUAGAGCACAAAAAUCCGUGAAGGGCGUACGAAGUACUUGCGCAAAAUUUCGUUGUAACAGGUGGACGGAGCCUGGUGCAAACCUGCUGUAAAAUGCACUAAAAUUGUAAUUGGAACGGACGGCGGAGUCCGGCGAAGCAGGCGCUUAAAGUCCGCAACAAGUGUGUGAUUGUGCGAGUGCUUGGAGGUGUAAAUACCACUUGGUAUUAUACCUCAUAUAAAACAGUAGGAUUGAAACCAGCAAACCUCUUGAGGAUGCAGAGGUAAGAACCCCCACUCGAAAGAGUUGAAGCGUGGGUUACCUCAACAGGUUGUUUCAAUUGCUGGCCUACUGAACAGAACCCCAGUUUUUAGGACUCCCUAGACGUCGACAAACUGGGCCAAAUUUUAUAAAAAAAAAAAAUAAAAAUGGGGAAAAAUAUAAGUAAGAAUAAGCCAACAGACAGUUUAAAAACAAAUGACUGGAAAUAUGUUGAAAAUCAGGAUCCGCAUAAAAUAAAACAUUUAGAUAAAUGGAUAACAAACUAUAACUUUGACGGCCGUCUGAAUUCACAAAAACUAACAGUACUGCAGGAUAAAAUAAAACAAAAAACAAAGUCAAAUUCAAAGAAAAUGCACAAAGAAGGGUAUGAGGAUAUAAAAUUUUGGUUAGAAUUAGCGCAAAAAAAGAGAAGAGGAGGAAGAAUCGUUUGAUGAAUACAGCCUGAGAAUGCAUCAACAUUACAUGAGAUUGGGGACUGGGAUUUUAGAUGAAUACAUCAACCACGCUAUACACGCAGAAAAGGUCUCAAAAGAAAAGAAAAAGGUUUCAGGAGCCUUUUUCCAAGAUGAGGAGCAAAUAUUUUAUUUAGAAAGGAGAGGAAGAGGAAGCUUCAGGGGUAGAGGUCAGAACCCCAGAGGACAGAAAGGGAGAAUGGGAAGAGGGAACUACAGACAAAAUAAUUUCAGACAAAAUAAUUUUAAACAAAACGACUUAGGAUGUUGGUGUUGUGGGAAGGAAGGACACAUAGCCAGAAAUUGCCCAGAAAAAAUACACAGAUCAGUCAGCAUGACUAGAAUCAGAAAGUUUAGAGAGUGAAGAGGUCCAAUUAAAUCUACAGGAUUUAUUAUCUAUGGAUAGUGUAAGACCAGAAAUAACUCUUUUCAUGAAUGGUAGACCUGUAGUUUUCCUUUGUGACACUGGUGCAUGUAGAACAACAUGCAGAGAAAACAUUUCUGGGGUAAAGAUUAGUGGGGAAACUGUCGUCGUGAGGUCAGCUGGGGGUAAAUUAAUGCAAGUCAAUGAAUCAGAGCCAGUUUGGCUUAGAGAUCCACAGGGACAAGCUUGUCAGUUGUCCAUUUUGAUGCUCCCAGAAUGCCCAGUAAACUUAUUAGGCAGAGAUGGCCUUAUACAGCUAGGAUUAGCUUUGAUUCCAACCACUGAUGGGCACAUAGCAGUUAAAAGGCAGUCAGAAAUAAAAAA